rnacentral:tmRNA from 1 species
GGGGCUGUAACGGUUUCGACAGGCUGGUGAAAGCUGACCCGUGAUGCAGGUCGAGAGUGAGUCUUCUCUCGGAAAUACCGGACUCGAAAAAAUAGUAACUGCGAACAACAUCGUUCCUUUUGCUCGUAAAGCUGCACCUGUUGCUGCCUAAGACCUAAUAAAUUGGUUCGAGCGCUUAUAUUGUGACUCCGUUAAGCAUUAUAGGCAACCCUCAACGGAUGCUCUCUGAGAAGGCUUCUAGUCUAACCCAGAGUUAAGAAAAUACUAGAAAAUCCUAUUGUCAGGGAUAAGUGACAAUUCCCGUCUGAGGAUCAGAAGGACUAAACCUGUGAACGAACGAUAGGUAAAUAACCGGUUUGGACAGCAGUUCGACUCUGCUCAGCUCCAUUU